GGGAAGGAGGCCCGCCCCGCGUGCGCGUGCGCGCUCUCUGGCAGGGAGGCGCGCGAGGGGUGCCUGCGGCGGCCGCGUGCUCCCGCGAGGGGGCGUGUCCUUCCGCGGCCAGCUGGGUCCCUGAGGGUCCAGAUCCACACGCGGGCUGGAGAGCGCGCACGGCUGUGAAGAGGGAUGGAGAUGGAGCCUCAUGACAAAAAUGAAAGUGAACAUGAUGUGGGAAAUAUAAAGAAGAGAUCCCCAAGAUAAGGAUUCUGGAGCAGAAAGUAGAGCACUUCCAAUGAACAACUUAUUCAUGUAAAAGCCAAGACUACUUACUGGAAAUUUCAGAGAAUGAAUGAGGGAGAGUCAGAGUGAGGGAGACACAGAAUCUGAAACAGGCUCCAGGCUCUGAGCUGUCAGCACAGAGCCCGACGCGGGGCUCGAACUCACGGGCCGUGAGAUCAUGACCUGAGCCGAAGUCGGACACUUAACCGACUGAGCCACCCAGGCGUCCCUCAGGUGGGUUUUAAAUAUGGUGUUGAUGCAGAAAGAUUGGAAAAUGCUGCUAGAGGAUAUGUCAGAGAAACUAAAGGUGUAGGGAAUUUAAUCAGCAUGAAAUAAGGGUGAAUUAAUUCAAAGCUCAGAGGUAGGUUGGUUUAGAGCCAGACAUGAACAGGCUUUGAUAAAUGUGAACUUAAGAUUCAUAUUUUCAUAAAGUGAUAAAAUAUUAACCUUAAGGACCAUUUCCAAAUUUUAAAAAUAUUUCUCCUUUGUAAUCUCUUUCUUGAGACUCACUUUUCUCCACCUCUGCUGAGGCAGUAAGGUACCUCUGUCUGGGAAAGGUGAAGAUACAAGGCCUAGAGAAAAUUAAGCAUAAAAUAGGAAUAGCCUGAGUUCUAUAAUGUUUAUGCCAGAUCACAAACUAUUCUGUUUAUCUAAGAUUUGCAUUUGUCAACUGCCUAAUCAUCUGCUCGACUGUUCUUCUCACAGGAUGCAUGACGAUCAAGUGUGCUGUUCAAUCCCCUUCAAGUUUUGGACCUGUUGUGUAAUUCCUACAGCACAUAAUCAAAGUGCUAUUUGAUCUAACUGGUUUGGGGUCUAUAUACAAUGAUCCCCUUGGAGGAGUCCCCAGAUGUUUUCCAGAUCAUUCAUUCCGUUGAUUCAGUACAAUUUAUUGGGUGUGUGUGUGCCAGGUACUAGUUAUGCAAUGAUGACUAAGAUAGUCCCUAUUCUCUGUCAGCUUCUUAUAAGUCUGUGAACUGACCACACAGAUGACCUGCAGAAGUCUGCUGCAGAUUCUCCUGCCCUAUUCCAGACCUCCUGAACCCAAAUCUCAGAGGCAAGGGAUUCUGCGCUUUGAAGAUGUUCCCUAGAGGAAGGAGAUUGAUUUUCACAAAGCCUGGAAGUGAGGUGUUGUCCAGUGGUGAUGUGUCCACUCGUUUCUCCAACAAAGAUCCUUUCAUUCAGGAGGCAUCUCCCUGGAGACGGAGGAAAUGGUAGGAGUCCCCUGGGGUGCUGUCAGCUCCACUUGCUGAACUUCUGGAGAAAGAGUGAAAUACUAGGACACAUGCUCUGGGGCCCUGGGCGGCUCAGUUGAUUAAGCGUCUGACUUUGGCUCAGGUCAUGAUCUUGCACUGGUGAGUUUGAGACCCGUGUCAGGCUUUGUGCUGACAGCUCAGAGCCCAGAUCCUGCUUUGGAUUCUGUGACUCCCUGUCUCUCUGCUCCUCCCCUGCUCGCACUCUGUCUCUCUCGCUCUCAACAAUAAACGGACAUUAAAAAAAUUUUUUUAAACAGGACAUGUGCUCUCCACUUUGCCACAGUCUCUACCACUCCUUAUCAUGUUAUACAGGACCCAUAUAUUAUUCACUUCCAUUGCCUUCCCAGCCCCUCUACGCAUUUGCAUCUUAGGUCUAUUUUAGGAAUUCUGUGGCUAAAAAGGUAGACCACAAUCAAGCUUGACUUUCAGGCUAAGGAAUUUGGUCUUCAUUCUAUAGGAAAUAGAGAGCCAUUAAUUUUUUAGUAGGGUAGCCAAGGCUUAAAGCAACUCUUUCAAAAAUGAUUCUGACUUUUAUUUGAAACUAAGGAUGAGGAGGGGAGAAUGGAGGCAGGGGGCUGGUGAAGGGGUAACCUUAAAUUUCAUUGUCUCAGGAAAUGGAAGCUGGGCCUAGGCUGUGAAAUGAGUGGGUCUGGCCUACAUGGCCUCCAGACAUGCAGUUAAGAACAGGAUCGGGAGCCUUGGGCAGUGCAAGGACAAGUAGAAAGCCAAACCUGGACUGAAAAUGCAUGGUCAUCAGUGAGGUGAAGCUAACUGGCCCAGAGCCUAGAGGGACUUUUUGAAGCAGAGACACAAGGCCCUUAAAUAAGGGCGUACAAGCAGGAAGGGAACCAUCAGAGCUGGUUCUGGCCAGGCAGGCAAAGGUAAUACCAAGGUGGUGGUUGUGGGAAUGGAAAUAGCUGGAGAGAUGUAAAAGCCAUUUAGAAGGAAGAUCCAGUGACACUGGUAGCUACUAGGAAAGGGGGUCUUAAGGAGGAAUAAAAAAAAUGAUUCUAAGACUCCUAACUUGGGAGCCAAAGAAGAUAGUGGUGAGGAGGAAGAAGACAUUUUUGAGUAUAUGAAAUAUGAGGUGCAUCAGGAUGCCCAGUAGGCACUGGAAGGACUGACGUUUAGAGAGGUGUAGGCUGAAAGUAAUACUAGGAUAUCAUCUUGCACAAAGAUGAGAGAUGAAGAUAGAGAAAAGGAAGAGGGAGGGAGAGAAGGAGAGUAAAGAGUAAAUCUUAGGGCGAAUUUAAAUUUAGGAUGUCCAUGAAAGUAUCACAAAUGGUCUGAUAUGGAAGAAGAGAAACAUUUAGCUCCAUGCUGGUUAAGGGGCAAGGGGCAAGGCCAUAGUGUUGUCACAACCUUCAAAGACCACAGCAAAUGAGGACCAAGAAACAGAAGCAGAGCCAAAGUAGUAUUUUCUAGAAAGAGGAUCUCCACAUUCAUUCAUUCAACAAGUAUUUAUUGAGAACCUAGCUUUUAUCCAGGCCCUGAACAAACGGAGGUGGGCCAGAGACCCUAUGCUGAUCGAACUUACAUCCUGCUGGAGAAGACAGACAUUACACAAAGACUGAUCGUGGUCAAUGUUACCAAGAGAAACAAAGCAGGAUCCCUGUGGAAUAGCUGUUGAUUUUAGAGGAGGGUGAAUUUGUCAAUGUUGAAAGAAGACCCACUUGGGAAGAAAACUUGAUUUUGUGUUUCCAGUGUAUGACAGGAAAAUGUUGACCUCUCCAGACCGCAAGGAUAUAUGUAAAACAGAGAGCUUUUUACCUCAUACUAUCUAGAGUCUUAAGAAUAACACCUCGAGGGGAGCUUGGGUGGUUCAGUUAAGCUCUUGGUUUUGGCUUAGGUCAUGAUCUCAUGUUUGUGAGAUCCAGCCCCACAUCGGGCUCUGCGUUAGUGCAGAGUCUGCUUGGGAUUCUCUCUCUUUCUCUCUCACUGUCCCUCCCCCCGCCGCCCCCACUAAAUAAAUAAAUAAACA